CUCUCCCGCUCCAGGACGCCCCCGGGACCCCUGCACACCCCAGCCCCUCCUGGGCCCCAUCUUUCCUGCCACCCUCCCUCCUUUCUCUUCUUGCUGCCAUCCUGGAGCAUUUUCUUGCAAGGCAGGGGGAAGCCAGUCAUUUAUCCAGAAGAUGACUGAAUAAAAUAAACGUGACUUUAUUUGGUACCAUGAUCUUUCUUCCCAAUCCUCGUUUGAUCUAAGAAAAGUGAGUUUUCUAGGAAAGCACAGAAAUGCAAGCUGUGCCACUGGCUGCCUCGGGCUCCGCCCCCAUGACCUCCCUGAGCCCUCCAGGAGCGGUGGCGCCUGGGGCAGAGUGGGAGGCAGGGGUGCAGGAGCAAGUCCUACACUCUGCACUGACCGCGAACCCUAGCUCCAUGGGCAGUGCCAGCACAUCCAGACCACCUGAGGCACUGCUGCCCCCUGCACGCUGCUCCUCAUUUGUGUUUUAAACCUCAUGCACCUCAUCAGAGAAGUGGCCGAGGUAUCCAGUGGCCCUGGAACCCAUGUGCUGUCCCACGUCCAGCCCUCAAAGUCCAAGGAGCUCAUCUGGCCCCCCGCACGGGACCAGCCACCUGGACACGCCUGCUGCUGGCUCACCACGUACAAGAACGGAAAGGCCUGAAGACCACGUGGCUUUGGUCCUGGCUGCCAGGUUUCCAUCGCCAAGACCAUCUUCCUGGGCAGCACGGGUUUGGUAAAGCCAGUGGAAAACCUGCUGUUGGUGGAGCUGAGUUUCAGCCGGUCACACCUAGGGAGACACCUCAGGCCUCUGUGACGCAUGGCAGCUUGUCCUGAAUCACCGGAUCUGUGUCCUGGCCAGCCCAGCCCCAGGACCACAGCUCCAGGACGUGCCCAGCCUGACCCAGGCUCCCCGUGGGAGGCCUGCACUGAUCUUGGCUCUUGCUAAACAACCCGCCCAGUGUCUCUGACGGCUGGCUGAGCAGGCCCACGCGGGGGAAAGGCACGUAAGGAGCUGAAAACGGCAUGUGGGACGGAGGCCUGGGGCCCCGGGCUCGUGGUGACACGGUAGGCUCCACAUCCCCCAGCAGCACUCACAGUGCGAAGCCCAGCCCCCCCAACCCCUGAACCCUGUCCCAGUGUUGGCCUAGACAGGACAUGAGUGGCACUCACAGCCCCCAAGUGCCUGCUGGUCCCUUCCCGUCCAUGGCCUGCGCCCUGUUCCUGUGGCCACGGACUUGCUCAGGACGAGCCCCAACUGCCUGAACCUCACGCUCUGGGAACCGCCAGCCAGCACACAGACAGACACACGGACUGGAGUGGGCAGUGGGCUGAGGGCCAGGGUGAGCAGCAGCGGGACCGUGCAGCUGCCGAAAAUCUGACUUUGUGGUUAGGCUG
rnacentral:lncRNA from 12 species